CUGCAGUCCGCCAUUACUGUUUUCUUGCUGUAGCUGCUGGAGACUGCCUCACAAACGAGCGUCAGUUCAGCUGGAGUUGUGCAAAGAUUGCUUCUGAAGAGGGAUUGAUACCAACGCUUUGUGUGCAAACGUCCAGACUCCAGACAAACUCUUCAAGUUAACCCAACUAUGAUGACUUCCGUUCCUAUGAAACCCGGAAAUGUGAAAAAGGUCCAUUUGUUCAGUCCCAUUCAGAAAUGCAGUGUAUGACAUAUUUUGCCCUAUAUCAAAAGUGAUAUUACCAUAUAUAUUUUAUUUUAUGUAAGGCUAUAAAUAUAAUUUUCACAUACUUACAUUGUCUCAUUAG
ensembl:lncRNA